rnacentral:rRNA from 1 species
UACGAAGGGGGCUAGCGUUGCUCGGAAUUACUGGGCGUAAAGGGUGCGUAGGCGGGUCUUUUAAGUCAGGGGUGAAAUCCUGGAGCUCAACUCCAGAACUGCCUUUGAUACUGAAGAUCUUGAGUUCGGGAGAGGUGAGUGGAACUGCGAGUGUAGAGGUGAAAUUCGUAGAUAUUCGCAAGAACACCAGUGGCGAAGGCGGCUCACUGGCCCGAUACUGACGCUGAGGCACGAAAGCGUGGGGAGCAAACAGGG